CUUCAUGGACGGUGCGAUUCUGAAAGCAACGUUUGCUCAUCUGAGGAUUCAGAAGCUGAUCGAUACUCCGAUUAUGGCUGGGGAGGACCCUCAUCGCCAUUUAACUGAGUUGGAAAAUGAAGCCACAAUGCUGGAGGCGUGGAGUUUGCUUAAUAAACAACUUUGAGCAACCAGCUCGGGUCAGACGUCAUUGACAGGACCUCCUCUUGGCUUCACCAAGUCGCUCUUGCUGCCUGCCCAGGGCUUCUUUGCCACCUCAAUAUUUAGUGUAUUCUUUCAUUAUGUUAAAACUAAAUAAAAUGUUUCAUUAUA
rnacentral:sRNA from 1 species